rnacentral:rRNA from 1 species
CGAGCGGAAACGAGUUAUCUGAACCUUCGGGGAACGAUAACGGCGUCGUAGCGGCGGACGGGUGAGUAAUGCCUAGGAAAUUGCCCUGAUGUGGGGGAUAACCAUUGGAAACGAUGGCUAAUACCGCAUAAUGCCUACGGGCCAAAGAGGGGGACCUUCGGGCCUCUCGCGUCAGGAUAUGCCUAGGUGGGAUUAGCUAGUUGGUGAGGUAAGGGCUCACCAAGGCGACGAUCCCUAGCUGGUCUGAGAGGAUGAUCAGCCACACUGGAACUGAGACACGGUCCAGACUCCUACGGGAGGCAGCAGUGGGGAAUAUUGCACAAUGGGCGCAAGCCUGAUGCAGCCAUGCCGCGUGUGUGAAGAAGGCCUUCGGGUUGUAAAGCACUUUCAGUCGUGAGGAAGGUAGUGUAGUUAAUAGCUGCAUUAUUUGACGUUAGCGACAGAAGAAGCACCGGCUAACUCCGUGCCAGCAGCCGCGGUAAUACGGAGGGUGCGAGCGUUAAUCGGAAUUACUGGGCGUAAAGCGCAUGCAGGUGGUUUGUUAAGUCAGAUGUGAAAGCCCGGGGCUCAACCUCGGAAUUGCAUUUGAAACUGGCAGACUAGAGUACUGUAGAGGGGGGUAGAAUUUCAGGUGUAGCGGUGAAAUGCGUAGAGAUCUGAAGGAAUACCGGUGGCGAAGGCGGCCCCCUGGACAGAUACUGACACUCAGAUGCGAAAGCGUGGGGAGCAAACAGGAUUAGAUACCCUGGUAGUCCACGCCGUAAACGAUGUCUACUUGGAGGUUGUGGCCUUGAGCCGUGGCUUUCGGAGCUAACGCGUUAAGUAGACCGCCUGGGGAGUACGGUCGCAAGAUUAAAACUCAAAUGAAUUGACGGGGGCCCGCACAACCGGUGGAGCAUGU